rnacentral:rRNA from 1 species
GAUGAACGCUGGCGGCGUGCCUAAUACAUGCAAGUCGAGCGAACGGACGAGAAGCUUGCUUUUCUGAUGUUAGCGGCGGACGGGUGAGUAACACGUGGAUAACCUACCUAUAAGACUGGGAUAACUUCGGGAAACCGGAGCUAAUACCGGAUAAUAUUUUGAACCGCAUGGUUCAAAAGUGAAAGACGGUCUUGCUGUCACUUAUAGAUGGAUCCGCGCUGCAUUAGCUAGUUGGUAAGGUAACGGCUUACCAAGGCAACGAUGCAUAGCCGACCUGAGAGGGUGGACGGCCAACAUGGAACUUGAGACCGGUCCCGACCCCUAAGGGAGGGAGCAGUAGGGAAUCUUCCGCAAUGGGGGGAAACCUGGCGGAGCCCCGCCGCGUGAGUGGAAAAGGUCUUCGGAGCGUAAAACCCUGUUAUUAGGGAAAAAAAUAUGUGUAAGUAACUGUGCACUGUUUGACGGUAACUAAUAAGAAAGCCACGGCUAACUACGGG